rnacentral:antisense_RNA from 1 species
UGUUAUGGCGGCUGUGCGCGGGAGACCUUCGGGUCUGCCGGGUUUGGUGGAUGUUCCGGUUUUUCCAGUCCGCGCGCAGCUGCCACCCUU